rnacentral:rRNA from 1 species
CUUGGUCAUUUAGAGGAAGUAAAAGUCGUAACAAGGUUUCCGUAGGUGAACCUGCGGAAGGAUCAUUAGUGAUUGCCCUAGUGGCUUAAAACUAUAUCCAUUUACACCUGUGAACCGUUUGAUUGACACUCUGUGUUGAUUUUACAAACAAUAUGUAAAGAAAGUCAAGUUAUUAUAACAAAAAAUAACUUUCAACAACGGAUCUCUUGGCUCUUGCAUCGAUGAAGAACGCAGCGAAAUGCGAUAAGUAAUGUGAAUUGCAGAAUUCAGUGAAUCACCGAAUCUUUGAACGCAACUUGCGCUCUCUGGUAUUCCGGAGAGCAUGCCUGUUUGAGUGUCAUGAAAUCUCAACCAUUAGGGUUUCUUAAUGGCUUGGAUUUGGGUGUUGCCAGUCUCUGGCUCGCCUUAAAGGAGUUAGCGAGUUUAACAAUGUCGUCUGGCGUAAUAAGUUUCGCUGGUAAGACUUGUGAAGUUUGCUUCUAAUCGUCUUCGGACAAUUACUUUGACUCUGGCCUCAAAUCAGGUAGGACUACCCGCUGAACUUAAGCAUAUCAAUAAGCGGAGGAA